rnacentral:rRNA from 1 species
ACGCGGGAAAUCUUACCGGGUCCGGACACACUGAGGAUUGACAGGUAACGUUAUACACACAUAUAUAUUUACUCUCGGGUAUUUGUACUUCGCUGUGUAUAUAUAAAAUAUGCUAGUCCUUUCAUGAUUAUGUGAUAGGUGGUGCAUGGCCGUUCUUAGUUCGUGGAGUGAUCUGUCUGCUUAAUUGCGUUUCACUAAGGAUCUAUAUUCAUAUUACGCAUAGCAUUUUGACCCCUUUAUGCUUCGGUAUAAAGCUGCGCGUCAAACCUUGCUAUCUGCGUAUAUUAGAUCCUGAAAGCAACGAACGUGACCGCAACCUCUUGUUGCCUUUAACUAGGUUUUGCUUACGUAUAGCUUCGGCUUUACGCUUUGCAUCUAAAAAGGCUGAUUUUCUAAACUAGAGGGACCGCUGUUACUUUCUUAAACCAGAGGAAGGUUGCGGCAAUAACAGGUCUGUGAUGCCCUUUAGAUGUUCCGGGCCGCACACGUGCUACAAUGAUUAUUGCAGUGAGCAUCUCAUAUAUUGAUUUUAUUCACACACCGCUUGCGCGUGGCUUAUGCACUUUACACUUCGGUGUAUUUUGCGAAUUCGCUUUCUGCGCGCGGUACAGCCUGCUUCGACAGUCUAGUGGGUAAUCAAUUAGAAGUAAUGAUUUCCAUAUAGCGCACACUAUAUACACACGUCUUAUGUCCUUGAUGAACUUGUUUCAACAUGUGUACGUAUA